CGGCGGACGGGUGAGUAACACGUGGAUAACCUACCUAUAAGACUGGGAUAACUUCGGGAAACCGGAGCUAAUACCGGAUAAUAUUUUGAACCGCAUGGUUCAAAAGUGAAAGACGGUCUUGCUGUCACUUAUAGAUGGAUCCGCGCCGCAUUAGCUAGUUGGUAAGGUAACAGCUUACCAAGGCAACGAUGCGUAGCCGACCUGAGGGGGUGAUCGGCCACACUGGAACUGAGACACGGUCCAG
rnacentral:rRNA from 1 species